rnacentral:rRNA from 1 species
UACGAAGGGGGGCGAGCGUUGUUCGGAUUUACUGGGCGUAAAGGGCGCGCAGGCGGCGCAUUUUGUCAGGCGUGAAAGCCCCGGGCUUAACCUGGGAACUGCGUUUGAUACGGAUGGGCUAGAGUUCGGGAGAGGAGAGUGGAAUUCCCAGUGUAGAGGUGAAAUUCGUAGAUAUUGGGAAGAACACCGGUGGCGUAAGGACGGCUACUUUGGCCGA